rnacentral:rRNA from 1 species
UACAGAGGGGGCGAGCGUUGUUCGGAAUUACUGGGCGUAAAGCGCACGUAGGCGGCUUUGUAAGUCAGAGGUGAAAGCCUGGAGCUUAACUCCAGAACUGCCUUUGAGACUGCAUCGCUUGAAUCCAGGAGAGGUGAGUGGAAUUCCGAGUGUAGAGGUGAAAUUCGUAGAUAUUCGGAAGAACACCAGUGGCGAAGGCGGCUCACUGGACUGGUAUUGACGCUGAGGUGCGAGAGCGUGGGGAGCAAACAGG